CGGGGCGUAGCUCAGCCAGGUUUAGAGUACACGUCUGGGGGGCGUGGGGUCGGAAGUUCGAAUCUUCUCGCCCCGACGA
rnacentral:tRNA from 1 species